CUGAGAGGACGACCAGCCACACUGGGACUGAGACACGGCCCAGACUCCUACGGGAGGCAGCAGUGGGGAAUUUUGGACAAUGGGCGCAAGCCUGAUCCAGCCAUGCCGCGUGCGGGAAGAAGGCCUUCGGGUUGUAAACCGCUUUUGUCGGGGAAGAAAUCCUUUGGGUUAAUACCUCGGAGGGAUGACGGUACCUGAAGAAUAAGCACCGGCUAACUACGUGCCAGCAGCCGCGGUAAUACGUAGGGUGCAAGCGUUAAUCGGAAUUACUGGGCGUAAAGCGUGCGCAGGCGGUGAUGUAAGACAGAGGUGAAAUCCCCGGGCUCAACCUGGGAACUGCCUUUGUGACUGCAUCGCUGGAGUACGGCAGAGGGGGAUGGAAUUCCGCGUGUAGCAGUGAAAUGCGUAGAUAUGCGGAGGAACACCGAUGGCGAAGGCAAUCCCCUGGGCCUGUACUGACGCUCAUGCACGAAAGCGUGGG
rnacentral:rRNA from 1 species